UACAGAGGGUGCGAGCGUUAAUCGGAAUUACUGGGCGUAAAGCGCACGUAGGCGGCUUGGCAUGUCGGGUGUGAAAUCCCCGGGCUCAACCUGGGAACUGCAUCCGAAACUGCUUUGCUAGAGUAUGGGAGAGGGAAGUGGAAUUUCCGGUGUAGCGGUGAAAUGCGUAGAUAUCGGAAGGAACAUCAGUGGCGAAGGCGACUUCCUGGACCAAUACUGACGCUCAGGUGCGAAAGCGUGGGGAGCAAACAGG
rnacentral:rRNA from 1 species